UCUCCGUUGGUGAACCAGCGGAGGGAUCAUUACCGAGUUAUCAACUCCCAAACCCCUGUGAACAUACCCAACGUUGCUUCGGCGGGACCGCCCCGGCGCCCUCGGCGUCCCGGAACCAGGCGCCCGCCGGAGGACCCAAACUCUUGUUUAAACCAUAGUGGCAUAUUCUGAGCCUCACAAGAAAAAUGAAUCAAAACUUUCAACAACGGAUCUCUUGGCUCUG
rnacentral:misc_RNA from 1 species